UACGUAGGGUGCAAGCGUUAAUCGGAAUUACUGGGCGUAAAGCGUGCGCAGGCGGUUAUGUAAGACAGAUGUGAAAUGCCCGGGCUUAACCUGGGAACUGCAUUUGUGACUGCAUGGCUAGAGUUUGGCAGAGGGGGGUAGAAUUCCACGUGUAGCAGUGAAAUGCGUAGAAAUGUGGAGGAACACCGAUGGCGAAGGCAGCCCCCUGGGUCAAGAUUGACGCUCAUGCACGAAAGCGUGGGGAGCAAACAGG
rnacentral:rRNA from 1 species